GACGAACGCUGGCGGCGUGCUUAACACAUGCAAGUCGAACGGAAAGGCCCUGCUUGCAGGGUACUCGAGUGGCGAACGGGUGAGUAACACGUGGGUGAUCUGCCCUGCACUUCGGGAUAAGCCUGGGAAACUGGGUCUAAUACCGGAUAGGAGCCAUUUUUAGUGUGAUGGUUGGAAAGUUUUUUCGGUGUAGGAUGAGCUCGCGGCCUAUCAGCUUGUUGGUGGGGUAAUGGCCUACCAAGGCGGCGACGGGUAGCCGGCCUGAGAGGGUGGACGGCCACAUUGGGACUGAGAGACGGCCCAGACUCCUACGGGAGGCAGCAGUGGGGAAUAUUGCACAAUGGGCGCAAGCCUGAUGCAGCGACGCCGCGUGGGGGAUGACGGCCUUCGGGUUGUAAACUCCUUUCGCUAGGGACGAAGCUUUUGGGACGGGACCUAGAUAAGAAGCACCGGCUAACUACGU
rnacentral:rRNA from 1 species